rnacentral:rRNA from 1 species
UACGUAGGGGGCAAGCGUUAUCCGGAUUUAUUGGGCGUAAAGCGUGUGUAGGCGGUUUACUAAGUCUAAGAUAAAAGCCCGAGGCUCAACCUCGGAUUGUUUUAGAUACUGGUAGGCUUGAAUAUGGUAGAGGCAAAUGGAAUUCCUAGUGUAGCGGUGAAAUGCGUAGAUAUUAGGAGGAACAACAGUGGCGAAGGCGAUUUGCUGGGCCAUUAUUGACGCUGAGACACGAAAGCGUGGGGAGCAAAUAGGAUUAGAUACCCUAGUAGUCCACGCUGUAAACGAUGAGCACUAAGUGUCGGGUAACCGGUGCUGAAGUUAACACAUUAAGUGCUCCGCCUGAGUAGUACGGUCGCAAGACUGAA